rnacentral:rRNA from 1 species
UACGUAGGGCGCAAGCGUUGUCCGGAAUUAUUGGGCGUAAAGAGCUCGUAGGCGGCCAGUUGCGUCUGCUGUAGCGAAAUCCCGGGCCGUCAACCCGGGCGUGCAGGUGGAUACGGGCUGGCUAGAGGCAGGCAGGGGAGAACGGAAUUCCCGGUGUAGCGGUGAAAUGCGCAGAUAUCAGGAGGAACACCAAUGGCGAAGGCAGAUCUCUGGGCCGUAACUGACGCUGAGGAGCGAAAGCAUGGGGAGCGAACAGG